CUUGAUCUACAGGAUGAUGGUGGAUGGAAGUCUAAACAAUAGAGCAUGCAUGCGCCUUAUCAAUGUCAUUAUUCUAUUCCAGUGCAUUGCAGCUAAUAGAGAAACCAGGCAAAAGCUCAUGAACUCCUGCAUUGUUAACUUCUUGGUACCCUUAGUACUGUUCGUGUCCACACUGGAGGUGUAUGACAACGUGAGAGCUGUUGCCUUG